AGUGUCACCUGGUCACCCAGUUCCGCCCAAUACUGAAUAUUAAUGCUUCUAGGUACACAGUGUGUUUAAGGGUUCAACAUUCGUUAAGUCUCAAAUCAAGUGUUUGGCAACGCCCGAAUAACUGCAUUCAGUGCUUGACUGCUCAACAUCCUUGCUGCCCUAAAGCAUUUAUAUCUUUUAUCACCCAACCUGUACACAGCAUCAAGCUGUCACUCAGUGUAUCCGGGUUUGGUCCAGGUACGAAGCACGUCAACAUCACUGGUGAUAGUUCCUGGUUGUACAAUGAUAUCACCAGUGUACGAUCAGAGCAACGUCACAUUUGGUGAACCUCUGUUUACGUUGCUCAGCGGUGUUUGAGCAGGAAUCAGGAACACGCAACCGUAAUUCCGCUGGUCAUAAUCUGAGGCAUGAAUCCAGAUGCGGAAACAUUCAAGUCCUCUGAUAUGUACUAUGUGGACAUGGGCGGAUCCAAACUACGGACAACGGCGUUGAAGUAUGGAAUGUCACAAUCAACACAGAGUGCCAACUUGGAUGACAUGUCAUUAAUGCCCGUGGAAAUAUUGAACUUUGAUUUGAUGUCAUGUAACAGGAACCAACAGGGCUGCUCCAACAUCCAUCAUGACUUCUGUGUCAUCAUUGCAUUUUGUAUCUUCAUGGUGAUUGGUUUGUAUCAGGUAUAUGUUUCUGUGAAUCUGUGAUACGAGAACAAAAGCGAAGAGAAGUGAAGAGAUAUGGAGCGUAUGUGAACGGUAGCUGAUACUGCUGGAACAGACUGAUACCCAGUGAACAGAUGAUGGUACUAGCUGAAUAGACAAUGAUACUAGUUGAAUAGUGGCUUGUUCAACACUAACUGAUACAUGCAUGCAGAUGAUAUGCGAAUAUAUACAGAAUAUUGUGU